ensembl:lncRNA
AACAAACAAACAAACAAAGGCGUCUGCUCAGUCACGUGACCGCACGACAACAAACCACAGCAGAGCACGAGUGGAGGGGGGAGGGGCGACAAGAGGAUGGCGACGGUUGGCCGGUUAGUCUGUGAAUGGACAGCAGGCGGCAGAGCGAAGUGACGGAAGUGAAAUGAGAACAGGAGUAGAUGGCGGGAAAGAUGAUGUAGAGGUAAAAUAAGAUAAAAACAAAGCGGGAAAGGAGAACAACAAGCAGAGUGAAAGUAAACCUGUAAUGUGGAGGAAACGGACAGUGAGCGCAGUGUAACCGUGACAACGAGACACGAGGACGGAUUUAAAGUGAUCAUAAAAUCGUCUCCAGACGGUCGUCGUUCGUCCAGUAGGCGGGAUUAAUGCACCUGUAAGCUGAUUUGUCAAAUGCCAUCAAGGCCUGAAGAAGAACGGAGGAGGACAGCACUACUGUGGUAGAGGAGCGUGUGUGUGCAGACAUGGCUGCUGUUGAUGAAGCGGACUGAACUUAGAGGAGAGACACAAACUAAAGUAUCGAUCCCGUCACGUCAGUGUGGAUCUGACACCAACGUCUGUAUCACUUCAUCGAUGCUUGUAUCGAUCCGCUCAGCCUGAGUUGAAGCAGCAAUGAGUUCAGUUCAGUAUCUGAGAGAGUUCAUCAAGGAGAGACUAACUGCUGUUUGUGAAGAAAUCUUCUCAGAGGUUCAAAAACCAUCGUCCAGUAUGAGGAGGAGAUCAACCGUCUGCACAGACUGCUGGAUAUCAGCCGAAACCCAACAUAAACUUACACAUCACAGAUCUACCACAACAUCAUGACUGUAAGGAAGAGGAGGGUCUGGAUGAGCAGCAGGUCUGUAACCAGGAGAGGAACUCCAGUGUGGACCAGGAGGACCCAGAGCCUCCACAGAUUAAAGAGGAACAGGAGGAACCCUGCAGCAGUCAGGAGGGAGAACAGCUUGGACUGAAGCAGGAGACUGAAGGCAUUAUUGUCUGGACUGAUGAAGAGCAGCUCAGAGUGAUGGAGACCAUCUGAAAACCUGUGAUAAAGUUACACAGAAUAGGUAGGAUGGACCUUGUCGCUUCACAAGUUGUCGUUUUAAUCCUACAUCCAAAAAAAUCUAAUAAAGAAUUCAUAAGAACUAGUGCGUUGUUUUUAUUAGAUUAUUUUUUUAAUUUCCAAUCAAUCAAUUAAUUAAUAAAAAUGCAGGAGACCGGGCCUUUGCAACUGCUCCGCCAAAAGUUUGGAACAGUCUGCCUCUUGAAAUUAGGAUCUCCAACACUUGACUUGACAUUUUGCACUUGACAAAAUGCAAACUAGGUAAUGGAACCCCUGGUUUCCGUUGCAUCCGGAAGAGCCGUGGUACAUGAGAGUGUUGUAGGUGACGUAGAUAUUUUCAUACGGGUCGUUUUUG